rnacentral:lncRNA from 1 species
UGUAACAACAGCAGGUAGCCCUUCAGGGAUGGCUGCAACAGCAAGAGCAACUGCAAUCUAGAAAACCAAAUGUAAAUAGUUUCGUCAGACACAAAGUUCAGAAACUGAAGCCAAACACAUAAGCACAUUAUAUAAAUUAUUAGGAGAUAAAUUGGAAAACUCAAUAACUAGUGUAGUUUUCAUGCAACCUCUAAAACGUAUAAAUGUCCAUAUGCAUCUUAACAAUUAGAAUUAAACAUCUACAUGUCUGAAAAUUUCUGGAUUCUAUACAGGAUCCGCUCCAGGAGAACUACAGAUUUUAUGGACUCCACAUCGAAUUUGAAGGUUCACAACAAAAUGAUUAUUGCAUCGAAUUUGAAGGUUCACAACAGAUUUUAUGGAUCCGCUGAUUUUGCUUUCCAUUCAGGCCUUCUUCUAAGUUCUACAAGACUAAUCAAUCUACCUAGACAGAAACAAAAUACUGAUUAAUCACCAGAGAAACUUAGAAUUGUGGCAAACAAACACAUGCAAAAAGUUGAAUAAGAGAAUUCCCAUAAAGGUAAGAUAGAAAUUUCCUGUUCGUUGACUAGAAAAGCACACAUUAAACCCAUAUACGAGUUUCAGAAAAUCAUCAACCAAUAUUCAAUUCAAACUACCACCAAAAUAAGCAAACCGCCAGACCAACGAUUCAGUACAUCAGAGUGUAAAUUGCAAAGAGAGACAUCAAAACGAAAGCCGAGAACGCUACACAAUCAAAAACCCUCGAGCAAAAUUGGAUCUUUAGAGAGAGAAAAGAGGGAUUGAGGAAAUCGGAGUAGGUGAGGUCGGCAGAGAGAAGGAGAGGCGAAAGAGGCACCUCCACCACGGCGAUGCACUCAAGAAGACGAAGAAGGACCAAUUUAUUGGAAACAAAUUCAUUAUAAAAUAGCAAAUUCAACAUAAAACACCAUUUCGAACAAAAUACAAAAAUACAAUAAUUCAGAAACUAUUUUUCCGAAAAUACAAUAAUUCAGAAACUAUUUUUCCGACUCAC